rnacentral:rRNA from 1 species
UACGUAGGGUGCGAGCGUUGUCCGGAAUUACUGGGCGUAAAGAGCUCGUAGGUGGUUUGUCGCGUUGUUCGUGAAAACCGGGGGCUUAACCCUCGGCGUGCGGGCGAUACGGGCAGACUUGAGUACUGCAGGGGAGGACUGGAAUUCCUGGUGUAGCGGUGGAAUGCGCAGAUAUCAGGAGGAACACCGGUGGCGAAGGCGGGGUCUCUGGGCAGUAACUGACGCUGAGGAGCGAAAGCGUGGGGAGCGAACAGG